GAAGUGGCCCAUCACCAUCUUUGGGAGCUCUGGGAGCAAGGUCCCCCUGGUAACAUUUUGGCGACCCAGAUGGGACCUCCAAAGCAUAUCGUCUGGCUACGAUAUCCUCUUCAAAGGGGAGAAACCUGGCUUCCUGAGGGAAGUAUAAAUUAAUAACACCAUCUUACAGCUAGACCUCUUUGGUAGAAAAGAAGGCAAAUGGAGUGAAGUGCCAUAUGUACAAACUUUCUUUUCAUUAAAAGACUUCAUGAGAUCACCUGCAAGGACUAUUUCCCUGCAUCAGAAUCACCAAAGUUAAUAUUUAAAACAAAGAGAUGAGAGACCUUUCUAGCUGCUGGAGAGAAGUUCUGAAGUGGUGUGGAUCAUCUGGCUCCAGUCUACAGGUCACCUCAGACCGGCAGGAAAAGAAAUUAGACCCUCCAUUCCAUGUAUGGAGGCAUUUUGUCUGCAAGGCAGCACCCCAGUGAUAGCCCAGGCACAGAUUGGGGACAUGCUGAAAACUUUCAACAUGCCUGCUUCAUAUUUGAUGGACACAAAGAGAAAAAAGACUGGCUUUGAAAGACAACUUAACCUUCUUGAAAAGUAAAUCAAACUCAGAAUCCUCCCAGACACCAGAGUCUCCCUCUGGUGCCCAGGCUGGAAUGUAGUGGCGCGAUCUCGACUCACUGCAACCUCCGCCUCCCGGGUUCAAGCAAUUCUUCUGCCUCAGCCUCCUGAGUAGCUGGGAUUACAGCUCAUCUUUCCACUGCCUC